rnacentral:rRNA from 1 species
GUAGGGAAUCUUGUCCAAUGGGCGCAAGCCUGAGACAGCGACGCCGCGUGCGGGACGAAGGCCUUCGGGUUGUAAACCGCUUUCAGCAGGGACGAAGCGAAAGUGACGGUACCUGCAGAAGAAGGUCCGGCCAACUACGUGCCAGCAGCCGCGGUAAUACGUAGGGACCGAGCGUUGUCCGGAUUCAUUGGGCGUAAAGAGCUCGUAGGCGGCCACUCAAGUCGAUUGUGAAAACUCGGAGCUCAACUCCGAGCCCGCGAUCGAUACUGGGCGGCUAGAGUCUGGUAGGGGGAUCUGGAAUUCCUGGUGUAGCGGUGGAAUGCGCAGAUAUCAGGAGGAACACCGGUGGCGAAGGCGGGAUCCUGGGCCAGUACUGACGCUGAGGAGCGAAAGCGUGGGGAGCAAACAGGAUUAGAAACCCGUGUAGUCC